UAAUUCUUACAGGUACCUUAGGAGAUGAAUUGUUUCCAUUUUAGGGAUGAAAAGGAAGCAUGGAGAAGUUAAAGAUUGUAUCCAUGGUUACCCAGUUCAGACAUGGAUUUGGGUUUUAAAGCCAGGUGCUCUGUUUUCCACACAUGUGUUCUUGAAUGCACACCCCCAACUUGUGGCACUGUUUAGAAGGCAGCGGAGCCUUGAGGAAGCAGGUCUGGCUGACUGGAGUAGGUUGCUGGGAAUAGACCUUUGAAGGUCAUGAGCCUCUUUGCAGUCUACAGUCACCGCUCCCUGCACCUAGGACUCAGCCACUGCUACAGGACUGACUCGGAGGGAGCCGUUUCCACUCUGAAUCUCUGAGAACUGUGAGCCUGUGAAAUAUAGGUGAGGUGGCUGUUCUUGGUUGUCAACUUGACAACAUCUGGAAAUAACUAAAAUUCACGUGGCUGGGCAUACCUGUGAGGGAUUUUUUUUUCUUAAUUAAAUCAUUUGGAGAGGAAAGACCCAUUUUUUUUUCUUUUUUCUUUUUUUUGGAGCUGGGGACCGAACCCAGGGCCUUGCGCUUGCUAGGCAAGCGCUCUACCACUGAGCUAAAUCCCCAACCCCGGAAGACCCAUUUUUAAUCUGGAUUUUUGGAGGUGGGAAGAUCUGCCUUUAAUCUGGCCCACACCUUCUGCUGGCAGCCUAAAUAAAGGACAUGGAAGAAGGAAGCUUACUGCCUUUGCCUGCUUGCUCUCACUCUCAAAGGCAAGUCCAUUCCUUCACUGGCAUUAGAACCUACUUCUUUGAGACUCUAGCGAAUACUGAAGAUCAGCAGAGACAUCCCGACUCAUGGACUGAGUGAGCUAUUACUAGAUUCUUGGGCCUUCCAUUGGUAGACAGCCAUUGUUAGGCUAGUCUGAUCACAGCCUGUAAGCCGUUCUAAUAAAUCCCAUAUGUAUUAUAAAAUAUAUAAAUAAUAUAUUACAAACAUAUAAAAUUGUAUAUAUUCAUUCUACAAAUUCUGUUCCUCUAAAGAACCCUGAUUAAUACAACAGGAAAGCUUAGAGUUCCUUGGAAUAAUCAUAUCAUGGGCUAACUGGCAGUCGGUCCCACACCUUCUGGAAAGCCUCCCUGAGCAUGCUGUGAAAGCUCUCUGAGGUCCCUGUAUAACCCAUGUAUCCUUAUAAUAACAUCGUUUUGCAAAUGAGCAAAAUGAGACCUUGGGAGGCUCGGGGCUCACUGAGUCAUGGCUCACCAGGGGCCAAUGAUGUGUGUUAACAAACCAAUGUUUUCCAGGCACACUCUAUGAAAUUCAGUUAAAAAUAAUUGAAGGAUUUAUAUAGCUAUCACGCCUACAUUAUGGGGGCUCACAGUUUCCAAGAGAUUUUAGUGGUGGAAACAGCUUUCUCUCUGGUUGUGGGGCACGACGUAGCAGUGUCUCUUUACAGGGUCAGAGAGCAGGGAUUGUAGACUGCAAAGAGACUUGAGUAUGACCUUGAGUAUGCCCUCUGCUCCCUACCUGUUGCCCGGAUCACACAGCACAUCAUUCAUCCAUGACAUGUGACUUUGUCUGUCUGAGCUAUAGAGUCUGCAUCCAGGAAACAGAAAUGGCAAUGUCCACCUCGCAGAAUUAUCAUGAGUAAGUGAGGUGACGUUUAUAAAGUUCCCUGAGUCAGUGAGAGAAGUGCAAAUAAAAACUACAUUGAGAUCCCAUCUCGCCCAGGUCAGAAUGGCAGCCUCCAAGAGCAAACAGCACAUACUGGCCACCACGCUGUUUGGCAAAAGGGAAAUCUCAUCCAUUGCUGGUGAGAAUGUAAACUUGUCCAGUCACUAGGGAGGUUCCUGGAAAUACUAAACAUAGAUUUACCAUGUGACCCAGCGAUAUCUGGAGAUUUAUCCAAGGCCAGAGUCAGCACACCAUCGAGAUAGUUGAAUACGCUGCUCUGUUCACGCACUUGUGAGACAGAAGAAAGGUGGAUUUCUGUGAGUCCGAAGCCAGUCUGCUCUAUGUGGGACUUUGGACACAGAUGAGUGUGAACCUGAGCCCCAAGAAGGCACGGACAAGCAUGAGAUUCUCUGUCUCCUUGCUCUGAGUUUGUGGAGGUGAAGUUCCGAGGAAGCUCUGCUUCUGGAGUUUUCCUGAGGUACAGUCCCUGCCUUCGCCAGGCCCUUCCUCCUCGGUACCCACAGUUCAGAGAUCACUGCCAGCACUCAGAAGAGUGUGAGCCAGGGCACACACACUUAAAACCUCAGCACUGGAGAGGCGGCGGCAGAGGACCAGGAUUUCCAGGUCAUCCUCCGAAACUUUACACAUCCGAUGACUGGAAGAGUUGGAAGGAUUUCCCACAGACUCCAUUAUUGUCGGUCUUUGAUUCGCCACUGCCCACAUUCCUGUGGCUCCUGGUACCUACCAUAGGGCACACUCGGAUCGGACCUCAGUUGGCAUCAACAGCUUUGCCAUCUUGCCGGUUCUGUCAUGGCAGUGUAAUGGUCCUGUACACUGUCACCAACCCAGAAGGAGGAGGUCUAGGAGUAUAGACAUGCAUCAUCGUGCCCAGUUUAUGUGGUUCUGGGGUUUGAACUGAGGGCUUUCUGCAUGAAAGGAAUUCUACUUCCAAGAAUCGGUCCUAAGGAAAUGAUGAGACAUUUAGGCAGCAUGACAUGUCUACCAUUAUUCAUGAAACUUGGAAACAAACUACGUGUUCAAUGAUAAAAGGUUCAUUUCAAAAUUCUGUGGUUGUAUAUUCUAUGCUGGCUAAGAAGACUAGAUAUUUAUGAAGUCUUUAAUGACCAGGAAAUUCUUAAUCUACAGUACUGGUAGCCAUCUACGUGCUUGACAUAAAAAGCAUAAGGAUAAGAAAUUGUACCUAUGUGUACUAAAUUCUCUAUUAUGUAAAUACUUU